rnacentral:rRNA from 1 species
GAUGAACGCUGGCGGAGGGAGGAAUACAUGCAAGUCGAGCGAACGGACGAGAAGCUUGCUUCUCUGAUGUUAGCGGCGGACGGGUGAGUAACACGUGGAUAACCUACCUAUAAGACUGGGAUAACUUCGGGAAACCGGAGCUAAUACCGGAUAAUAUUUUGAACCGCAUGGUUCAAAAGUGAAAGACGGUCUUGCUGUCACUUAUAGAUGGAUCCGCGCUGCAUUAGCUAGUUGGUAAGGUAACGGCUUACCAAGGCAACGAUGCAUAGCCGACCUGAGAGGGUGAUCGGCCACACUGGAACUGAGACACGGUCCAGACUCCUACGGGAGGCAGCAGUAGGGAAUCUUCCGCAAUGGGCGAAAGCCUGACGGAGCAACGCCGCGUGAGUGAUGAAGGUCUUCGGAUCGUAAAACUCUGUUAUUAGGGAAGAACAUAUGUGUAAGUAACUGUGCACAUCUUGACGGUACCUAAUCAGAAAGCCACGGCUAACUACGUG